UACGUAGGGGGCAAGCGUUGUCCGGAUUUAUUGGGCGUAAAGAGCUCGUAGGUGGUUCGGUAAGUCGGAUGUGAAAUCUCCAGGCUCAACCUGGAGGGGUCAUUCGAUACUGCCGUGACUAGAGUUCGGUAGGGGAGUGUGGAAUUCCUGGUGGAGCGGUGAAAUGCGCAGAUAUCAGGAGGAACACCCGUAGCGAAGGCGGCACUCUGGGCCGAUACUGACACUGAGUGAGCGAAAGCCAGGGGAGCAAACGGG
rnacentral:rRNA from 1 species